rnacentral:rRNA from 1 species
AUUGAACGCUGGCGGCAUGCCUUACACAUGCAAGUCGAACGGCAGCACGGGUGCUUGCACCUGGUGGCGAGUGGCGAACGGGUGAGUAAUACAUCGGAACAUGUCCUGUAGUGGGGGAUAGCCCGGCGAAAGCCGGAUUAAUACCGCAUACGAUCUACGGAUGAAAGCGGGGGACCUUCGGGCCUCGCGCUAUAGGGGUGGCCGAUGGCUGAUUAGCUAGUUGGGGGGGUAAAGGGCUACCAAGGCGACGAUCAGUAGCUGGUCUGAGAGGACGACCAGCCACACUGGGACUGAGACACGGCCCAGACUCCUACGGGAGGCAGCAGUGGGGAAUUUUGGACAAUGGGCGAAAGCCUGAUCCAGCAAUGCCGCGUGUGUGAAGAAGGCCUUCGGGUUGUAAAGCACUUUUGUCCGGAAAGAAAUCCUUGGCCCUAAUACGGUCGGGGGAUGACGGUACCGGAAGAAUAAGCACCGGCUAACUACGUG